GGAUAUGAGGGGAUCACACUGCAGUAUCUGUUACCCCACUGAUUGUCUGGGUUAAUUUGCUGUCCAGGCAGGUGUCCCCUUCUUCCCUUUCUGCUUUUUCCCUCCUGAAGCUGAGCACUCAGGCAGUCAAAGAGGACAACCAACCCCCCAAAAGGAGGAUUGCUCUUGGGUCAAGGGUACAUGAGGAGCUGUGCUCCCUGAUAGAACAUCCAAACAAACUAAGUUUGCAUUUCAAAAACCUGAACAACUAUCCUAGAUCUGAAAAGUCAAGUCUAUCCCUCUAUGAAAUAUAGUAUAGUAUAUUUCCUU
ensembl:misc_RNA 7SK 7SK RNA